rnacentral:rRNA from 1 species
UACGUAGGGUGCGAGCGUUGUCCGGAAUUAUUGGGCGUAAGGAGCUUGUAGGCGGUCUGUCGCGUCUGCUGUGAAAAUCCGGGGCUCAACCCCGGACUUGCAGUGGGUACGGGCAGACUAGAGUGUGGUAGGGGAGACUGGAAUUCCUGGUGUAGCGGUGAAAUGCGCAGAUAUCAGGAGGAACACCAAUGGCGAAGGCAGAUCUCUGGGCCGUAACUGACGCUGAGGAGCGAAAGCAUGGGGAGCGAACAGG